AGAGUUGAGGUGAGUGCCGGAGAAACAUGGGAGGUUGUUUGGUUUCGGAUUUGCAUCUGGAUUUGGAAGAGCAAAAGGACUUUCUCCUGCGACGCGUGCAUGAAACAGACACGCAGUCGUAAUUUAAAUUUAACCGACUCCACGGGCGCGUAAAAUGGCAAACCAACCCAGAACCCAGCCCCGAAAAUGCACCGCGCCGCCGCCGCCACCGUGGCGGCGCCGCAGGCGACCGACGCGCAGCUCCUGGCGGGCGCGGUGGAGGCGGCGAUCGCCACCCGAUCCGCGCGGCUCGGCCGAGCGGCCCACGCGCGCGCGCUCAGGCUGCUGUCCCCGGCGCUCCCGCCCUUCCUCUGCGCGCACCUCGUCAACCUCUACUCCAAGCUCGACCUCCCGGGCGCCGCCGCCGCGUCGCUGGCCGCCGACCCCAGCCCCACCGUGGUGUCCUACACGGCCUUCAUCUCGGGCGCGGCGCAGCACGCGCGCCCGCUCCAGGCGCUCUCGGCGUUCGCCGCCAUGCUCCGGCUCGGCCUCCGCCCCAACGACUUCACGUUCCCUUCCGCCUUCAAGGCCGCCGCCUCCGCGCCGCCGCGCAGCGCCGCCGGAACGCAGCUGCACGCCCUCGCGCUCAGGUUCGGAUACCUCCCCGACGACGCCUUCGUCUCGUGCGCGGCGCUGGACAUGUACUUCAAGACGGGCUGCCUCGCGCUGGCGCGCCGCCUGUUCGACGAAAUGCCCAACAGGAACGUGGUCGCCUGGAACGCGGUCAUGACCAAUGCGGUGCUCGACGGCCGCCCCCUUGAGACGGUCGAGGCCUACUUUGGGCUCCGGGGUGCUGGUGGGAUGCCGAACGUGGUCUCGGUCUGUGCGUUCUUCAACGCGUGCGCUGGUAUGACGAACCUGUCCCUUGGGGAGCAGUUCUAUGGUUUUGUGGCCAAGUGCGGCUUUGGCAAGGAUGUCUCCGUGUCCAAUUCUGUGGUGGAUUUUUAUGGGAAGUGCCGUUGCGUGGGGAAGGCCAGGGCGGUGUUUGAUGGGAUGGGAGUUCGGAACAACGUGUCCUGGUGUUCUAUGGUUGUUGCAUAUGCGCAGAAUGGGGCAGAGGAGGAGGCUUUCUUUGUCUACUUGGGUGCAAGGAGAGCUGGGGAAGAGCCGACUGACUUCAUGGUUUCCAGUGUGCUCACCACAUGUGCAGGCCUGCUAGGACUUGACCUUGGGCGUGCUCUGCAUGCAGUUGCUGUCCGUUCCUGCAUUGAUUCAAACAUUUUUGUUGCAAGUGCCUUGGUUGACAUGUAUGGGAAGUGUGGCGGAAUCGAAGAUGCUGAGCAGGUCUUUUUCGAGAUGCCACAGCGGAAUCUUGUCACAUGGAAUGCGAUGAUAGGAGGUUAUGCUCAUAUUGGUGAUGCUCACAAUGCACUUUCUGUGUUUGAUAAAAUGAUAAUGGGUCAAGAAACAGCACCUAACUACAUCACACUUGUCAAUGUUCUCACGGCAUGCAGCAGAGGAGGUUUGACAAAGGAAGGGUAUGAGUUGUUCCAGACAAUGAAGUGGAGGUUUGGGAUUGAACCAAGAAUUGAGCAUUAUGCUUGUGUGGUGGACUUGCUUUGCCGUGCAGGAAUGGAAGAGCGAGCUUAUAAGAUCAUACAGGGGAUGCCAAUGAGACCUUCCAUUUCUGUCUGGGGAGCACUACUUGGGGGGUGCAAGAUGCAUGGGAAGACAGAACUAGGAAGGAUUGCUGCUGAGAAGUUGUUUGAACUUGAUCCUCAGGAUUCAGGCAAUCAUGUUUUGCUCUCAAACAUGCUUGCAUCUGCUGGCAGGUGGGCAGAAGCAACGGAUGUGAGAAAGGAGAUGAAGAAUGUUGGGAUCAAGAAGGACCCAGGGCGCAGUUGGAUCACUUGGAAAAAUGUUGUCCAUGUUUUCCAGGCUAAGGAUACAACACAUGAUAUGAAUAGGGAGAUCCAGGCAUUGUUGGCCAAGCUCAAAGGGCAAAUGCAAGCUGCUGGAUACAUGCCAGACACACAAUAUGCUCUCUAUGAUCUUGAGGAAGAAGAGAAAGAAUCAGAAGUGUUUCAACACAGUGAAAAGCUUGCUCUGGCUUUUGGAUUGAUAUGUAUACCACCUGGCAUACCUAUAAGGAUCAUGAAGAAUCUGCGAAUUUGUGUAGAUUGCCACCGGGCUUUUAAAUUCAUAUCUGGUAUUGCUGGUAGGGAGAUAAUUGUGCGGGACAACAAUAUGUUUCAUCACUUCAAAAAUUAUGAGUGUUCAUGCAAGGAUUAUUGGUGAAAGUUGUAUCCACAAGAUAUACUGAUGCAUGUUUUGUUGGCAUCUCUAGAAGCACCUCUGCAGAUAUAGAAGUUGGUGCUAGUGGCGGCAUUCUGGUGUCCUGGAGGUCGUCGGUAGGUCUUGUCCAAGCUUCGAGAGUGGACAGAUUUAGUGUGUUAGUCCAAUUCUUCCCAAAUAUUGGGGACCCCUGGCGGUUAACAUGUGUGUAUGGCCCUCAAAGUUCAGAUGACAAGAUUUUAUUCAUGCAAGAAUUAAAAGAUAUAAGAACUCAAUGUCCAGGACCGUGGUUAGUGGGAGGAGAUUUUAACCUCAUUUAUAAGGACGAAGACAAGAACAAUUCAAAUCUGAACCGUACAAUGAUGGGAAGAUUUCGAAGAGUGAUCAAUGACUUGGCCAUCAAAGAGAUACCUCUGGUAGGUAGAAGAUUCACUUGGGCAAGUUCUGUUUCGGGUAGCUCCCAGUGCUUGUCAAGCUGGACAGAAUAUUUUGCUCUGUUGACUGGGAUCAUAAGUUCUCUAAUUAUCUGCUGCAGAGCUCAGCUUCUGAAGAUUCUGACCACUGUCCACUCAUCUUGGGACUGAAUGAUGGGCAUCACGGAAAGAGGAGAUUCCAUUUCGAAGACUUUUGGCCUCAGUUUGAAGGCUUUCAUGAAGCUGUCCUUUUGGCCUGGGAGUCUGUCCCAGCCACUAGGUGUCCCUUGGAAACCUUCUCUUCCAAGCUAAGGGCUACAGCUAAAGGCCUUCAAAGUUGGAGUGAUAAAAAAGUCGGGCAUUUUAAAGCACAGCUAGAAAAUGCAAGAGAGAUCAUUCAUCAAUUGGAGAUAGCUAGAGAUAUCAGAGCGCUUAGCCAACUUGAGGCUUGGCUGCUAUCAGCCUUGAAGAAGCUUUCCCUGGCUCUAUCCUCGCUGCUCCGCUCAGUGGCGAGAAUUAGAUCGAGAAUCACGUGGCUCAAGUGCGGGGAUGCGAAUUCUAAUCUAUUUCACCUACAUGCCAAGCAUCGCAAGCAAAAGAACUUUAUAGCUAUGCUAAAGAAGGAGAACCAGGUCAUUACAGCUCAUGAGGAAAAGGCUCAUUAUCCUGUGGGACUUUUAUGCCAACCUGAUUGGAUCUAGUGAUGAUCGAACCUGCACCCUUAACCUGGAAGAAUUAGGCAUACAACAACAUGAUCUCAGUGCAUUGGACGAGCCUAUUUCGGAACAGGAAGUGUGGAUCACUAUCAAGAACCUCCCCAAUAACAAAGCCCCAGGACCGGAUGGCUUCACUGGAAAGUUUUACAAGAAUUGCUGGCCUGUAAUCAAAGAUGACUUGAUGCGAGCCAUUGGUGCUGUGUGGAGGAGGGACUUCAGAAACCUUCGCCUCCUCAACUCUGCCUUUAUCACGCUGUUGCCAAAAAGGGAGGGCGCUGAUGGGGCUGUUGAUUAUCGCCCCAUUAGCCUGAUUCACAAUUUUGCUAAGCUCAUGACGGCAAAACUGGAUUGCUUAAUCUCGUGGCUUGGUGGAUCUGGAAGCACAGAAAUGCUUGUGUUUUUGAUGGUGUCUCCCCAAACACGAAUACAGUUCUGCAACAGAUCCAGAAGGAUGCCAGGCUUUGGGAGAUGGCAGGUGCUAAGGCUCUGAGAAGGCUGUGGCCUUAAAUUAGGGGCUUGGUUCUAUUCCCCCCCCCUUUUUCUUUCUUUUUCUUCCUUUUUCUCCUUUAUUUUCUGAUUUUCUCUCUUUUUAUCCCCUUUUUUUUGUAUAGCUGUUGUUCUUGGUCUUCUUUAGACCUUCUCUCUACUUAAUAUAAUGAUGCGCAGUUCUCCUGCGUGUUCGAGAAAAAAAACCAAAGUGCUUUCAUUAAAGAUAGAUUUAUACAAGAUAACUUUAUGAUGGUGCAGCAAACUGCUAGAUAUCUUCAUGCUCAGAAACAACCCAGAAUCCUCCUUAAAUUGGACAUUUCUAAGGCCUUUGACACCGUAUCUUGGCCCUUUCUUUUGGAGGUGUUGAAAAAAUUGGAGUUUGGAUAUGUGUGGAGAGAUAUUAUUAGUGGCAUCCUUUCUACUUUGCUCCACACAGAUUCUGUUGAAUGGUGUCCCAGGUGACUACAUCUCUCAUCAUCGAGGGUUGAGGCAAGGAGAUUCCCUCUCUCCCAUGCUUUUCAUCAUAGUUAUGGAUACUCUUAACCUGCUGAUUUCUAGAGCAGCCGAAGCUGGUCUUCUCCAUCCCCUCUCCUCGAGAUCCAAUCUUCAUAGGCUCUCUUUGUACGCUGACGAUGUGGUCCUAUUCCUGAGACCUUCACCUGCAGAGAUUGAGCUGAUUAUAAAGAUCUUACAACUUUUUGGGGAGGCCUCUGGAUUGAAGACAAACAUUCAGAAGAGUAGUGUGCUUCCUAUUCAUUGUGCGCCAGAACUAAUUGAAUCCAUUCAGAAUCAGCUCCCUAUUCAUUGUGGGUUGAGACAAGGUGAUCCUCUAUCACCCCUCUUAUUCAUCCUAGUCAUGGAUGUUCUUAAUAGCCUAUUCAUCAGGGCAAAUGAGUGUGGAUUAUUACACCCCCUUGCUGGCAGAAACAUUAGCCAAAGGGUUUCAAUGUUUGCAGAUGAUGUUGCUGUGUUUUUAAAACCAGCUUCUGGGGACUUAGUGGUGGUCAGAGAAAUUUUGAGGUGUUUUGGUGUUGCCUCAGGUCUUCAUACUAACUUGCAAAAAAGUUUCUCCUACCCAAUUCAGUGCAAUAAUGAGGGGACUGCGCUGGCUGUUCAGACCUUGGGGUGUGCCUCAAAAUUUUUUCCCACAACCUAUCUUGGUCUCCCUCUAAGCAGCAAAAAACUUAGUGCUGGGGAUCUCGCUCACUGGAUAGAAAAAAUUGCUGCCAAGCUUCCAGGAUGGAAGGCUGAGCUUUUAAAUCUUGCGGGAAGAGUCACUCUUAUCAAAUCUGUCCUCUCUGCCAUCCCAGUUUACUUAUUUAUUGCUCUUAAUGCUCCUAAAUGGGUUAUCAAAGCCAUUGAUAAAAUUCAACGUAACUUCUUGUGGAAAGGAAGAAAGGAGGCUAGAGGAGGUAAUUGCCUUGUUUUUUUUUUCUCGAAACACGCAGGAGAGCUGCGUAUAAUUUAUAUUAAGAAAGAGAAAGGUCUGAGAACAGACCGGGGUACAGACGACUCCUUACGGAGGUCGAAAACACAAAUACAGAAACACACUCAUCCCUUAUCUAUGACACAACAGCAGGCCCUCCUAGACUUAAGGCCAUAAGCCCCUAAGCCCUCUAGCCCCGGCCAUACCCCACAGCGUAGCAUCCUCGUGGAUGUGCUGCAGGAUAUCUCUAGUGCUCGGGGAAGCUCCCUCGAAGACACAAGUGUUUCGAUGUUUCCACAGCCACCAAGCCACAAGGAUUACCAACGUGUUAAAACCUUUUCUCUUCUCUUUAGGAACCUGACCUUCAGCAUUGCUCCACCAAUCUUGGAAAAUCAUGUCCUCAGGCCCAGGUGCCAGAUAUUGCAGCCCCACUUUACACCACACCUGCCACCAAAUGUUUCUAGAGAACACACAAGAGAGCAAAGUAUGCUGGACUGUUUCUUCAUGUUGAUCGCAAAAGAGGCAUUUGUCAUGAUGAUCCAUACCUCGCCGGGCCAAUCUGUCAGCCGUCCAACACCGGUUGAGAGAGGCUAGCCAAAUGAAGAAUUUACAUUUUGGAGGAGCCCUUGGGAUAAAAUCUCUAGGCCUCUUGAUUUAGGGGGCCUUGGAAUUCCUAAUCUCCAAAAGAUGAACUGGGCCCUACAAUUGCGAUGACUUUGGCUACAAAAAACUGCUCCUUCGAAGCCUUGGAGUGGCCUGGAUCUUAAAAUAUCUUCCCAGGCCCGAGCUUUAUUUCAGGCAGCAGUGUCUACCACCAUUGGUAAUGGUAUUUCAACUUUCUUUUGGAAAGAUAAGUGGAUUCAUGGGUAUUCUAUUGUGGAUAUAGCUCCCCUUAUUGCUGCUGCAGUUCCGAUGAAGAUUAAAGAAGUAAGGACUGUGCAACAGGCCCUUACCUCUCAUUUCUGGGUUCAAGAUAUCCAGAGGAAUCUCUCUCUGGCUGAGAUUGAGCAAUAUCUACAAUUAUGGGAGGUAAUUUGAAUCUUUUCAGCUUCAAAAUUCAAAUGAUCAGCAUGUGUGGAUAUUUAGCAACGAUGGUCUGUACACCUCCAAAUCUGCCUAUAGAGCUUUUUUCAUUGGAGCAGAAUCCUUUGAGCCCUGGAAAAGAGUUUGGAAGAGCUGGGCAGCUCCUAAGUGUAAGAUCUUUGUUUGGUUGGCCAUAAAUAACAAAUGUUGGACAACAGACAGACUUAAAAAGGGGGCUUGAUCAUCCUGAAAAUUGUGUUCUAUAUGACCAAGAAGACGAAACUGUGCAGCAUAUUCUAUCUAAUUGCGUCUUCACAAGACAAUUUUGGCAUAAUAUUUUAACUCCAAUUGGUCUCUCUUCUGUGGGUCCUAAGAGAAGAGAUUCAGUUUUUGCUGAAUGGUGGAGAAAGGCUUCAACCAAGAUUCCCAAGAGCAAAAGAAAGGGGUUUAAUAGUAUGGUAAUCCUUGUGGCUUGGAGUAUUUGGAAGCAGCGAAACAGGUGUGUUUUUGAAGGAGCUCGACCCUGCCUUCCUACCUUAGAGGACGGAUUUAAAGACGAGAUGAGAUUGUGGUUUUCUGCUGGAGCCAAGAACAUGCGCUCUCCUUUUGACCUGGAUAGAGAAAGGAAAGUCUUAUAGCCUAUUAAACGACUGGGGUGUUGGUUUGUCGUAUGUGUCUGUGCGGUGUGUGUUUUGUAAGGGUGAGUGUGUGUUCUGUUUGUCCCGGGCCGCAGGCCCUUUUUCCCUCUACUUUAAUUUAAUUUUUCUCGAAAACGCGCAGGAGAGCUGCGCCCCUUUAUAUAUUAAGAAGAUAGGAAAAAGGUCUAAAAUAGACCAAACAACAGCAGGCCUCCUCACGGGGGCCAGAAAAUAGCAUACA